CAGUCGCCGCGGGAAAACCGAGGGUGCAAGCGUUAAUCGGAAUUACUGGGCGUAAAGCGCACGCAGGCGGUCUGUCAAGUCGGAUGUGAAAUCCCCGGGCUCAACCUGGGAACUGCAUCCGAAACUGGCAGGCUAGAGUCUUGUAGAGGGGGGUAGAAUUCCAGGUGUAGCGGUGAAAUGCGUAGAGAUCUGGAGGAAUACCGGUGGCGAAGGCGGCCCCCUGGACAAAGACUGACGCUCAGGUGCGAAAGCGUGGGGAGCAAACAGGAUUAGAUACCCGCGUAGUCCCUGUCUCUUAUAC
rnacentral:rRNA from 1 species